rnacentral:rRNA from 1 species
GAUGAACGCUGGCGGCGUGCCUAAUACAUGCAAGUCGAACGCUGAAGGAGGAGCUUGCUCUUCUGGAUGAGUUGCGAACGGGUGAGUAACGCGUAGGUAACCUGCCUGGUAGCGGGGGAUAACUAUUGGAAACGAUAGCUAAUACCGCAUGACAACAGUUAUUGCAUGAUAACUGUUUAAAAGGGGCAACUGCUCCACUACCAGAUGGACCUGCGUUGUAUUAGCUAGUUGGUGAGGUAACGGCUCACCAAGGCGACGAUACAUAGCCGACCUGAGAGGGUGAUCGGCCACACUGGGACUGAGACACGGCCCAGACUCCUACGGGAGGCAGCAGUAGGGAAUCUUCGGCAAUGGACGGAAGUCUGACCGAGCAACGCCGCGUGAGUGAAGAAGGUUUUCGGAUCGUAAAGCUCGGUUGUAAGAGAAGAACGAGUGUGAGAGUGGAAAGUUCACACUGUGACGGUAGCUUACCAGAAAGGGACGGCUAACUACGUG